AAUCUUCAAAGAUGGAUUUUAAAGAUGGAUACUAAUGGUGCAAGCAGAUAAGUAUCAACAUGGGCAUAGGAAUAAUGCUUCACGGAUGCCUCACGAUGGUCAGAUAAAGUGACACCUAACCGAAAUCUAUAUCAACUAUAAACAAAAGAUAAAACAGAUAAUACUCCUAGAAGUGUUAUCAAAGUGUUGAUGGCCAAACGAGAAACGCUUAAGGCUUUUGGUAAAGCAUACUGAAUUGCAAGAUGCGAAGCUAAAUCUACAGCAAAUAUUUGCUUUUCUGGUUCUGGCUGUGACAGUAAUUCAGGAAUCCAAUCAAGACAAAUAUGCAUGGAUGGAACGCCAGUAACUGUAAUGGGUAACAGCUCUCUUGGAUAACCCUAUAAGUAAAGAAAUAUGGAAGAAUAUGUAGCGGACAAAGGAGAGAUAACAGAACUGAUUGAAAGUCUGGAUUUAUUUCAGAGAAAAGAACCUGACUCUAAAUGCGAGAAAAUUAAAGAUAAACGAAAUUCAAGGCAGGGGAUAGAAAAACGAAGGAGGAGAAAUGGAAAUGGAAGCAGGAAGAAUUAGAGGAGCUUCGCUUGAUAACUGACCAAUCUUUUCUAUCAAUGGUUUGUCUUGUAUAUGUCUAGAUAACUGAGAUCGAGAAGCUGCUAAUGCAGCUUGUAGAAUUCUGAAAAUAUUUGUACCAAUGAAGUACCAAUUGAUAAUAAGUAAUUGAACGUUAAAUAUUUAAAGGCUUACUCAAUCUCUU